rnacentral:piRNA from 1 species
UUGGCUUACUUUUUGAUUUGUGUGAGCAAA